UCUACCAUUUCACCACCAAGGCAUCUUGAAAGUGAAUCGUAUUCUAUGGAAACUUACUAAGUGAUCACUUUCAAAUUCAGAGAAACCCUGGAAUUAACAAAAAUGGGCAAUCCUGAGCCAAAUCCUGUUUUCUGAAAACAAACAAAGAUUCAGAAAAAAGGAUAGGUGCAGAGACUCAAUGGAAGCUAUUCUAACUAUUAUUUUCCCUGGCGCAGCUGGGCCAUCCUGGACUUGAACCAGAGACCUCGCCCGUGAAGUAAGUUAUUU
rnacentral:ncRNA from 1 species